rnacentral:rRNA from 1 species
AACGAACGCUGGCGGCAUGCCUAACACAUGCAAGUCGAACGAGACCUUCGGGUCUAGUGGCGCACGGGUGCGUAACGCGUGGGAACCUGCCCUUAGGUUCGGAAUAACUCCCCGAAAGGGGUGCUAAUACCGGAUAAUGUCUUCGGACCAAAGAUUUAUCGCCUUUGGAUGGGCCCGCGUUGGAUUAGCUAGUUGGUAGGGUAAAAGCCUACCAAGGCGACGAUCCAUAGCUGGUCUGAGAGGAUGAUCAGCCACACUGGGACUGAGACACGGCCCAGAAUCCUACGGGAGGCAGCAGUGGGGAAUAUUGGACAAUGGGCGAAAGGCUGAUCCAGCAAGGCCGCGUGAGUGAUGAAGGCCUUAGGGUUGUAAAGCUCUUUUACCCGGGAUGAUAAUGACAGUACCGGGAGAAUAAGCUCCGGCUAACUCCGUG